rnacentral:pre_miRNA from 1 species
UGGGAUCUCAGGGUAAAGCUGCAAUUUAAAGCAUGUAGUUGUCAGCUGGACCUUGAAUAUCCUAUAU